rnacentral:rRNA from 1 species
UACGAAGGGUGCAAACGUUGCUCGGAAUCAUUGGGCGUAAAGCGCACGUAGGCGGCUUGCCAAGUCGGUCGUGAAAUCCCUCAGCUCAACUGAGGACGUGCAUCCGAAACUGGCGAGCUUGAGUACUGAAGAGGAUCGCGGAAUUCCCGGUGUAGAGGUGAAAUUCGUAGAUAUCGGGAGGAACACCAGUGGCGAAGGCGGCGAUCUGGGCAGAUACUGACGCUGAGGUGCGAAAGCGUGGGGAGCAAACAGG